GUGAAAUUGAACUCGCUGUGAAGAUGCAGUGUACCCGCGGCAAGACGGAAAGACCCCGUGAACCUUUACUAUAGCUUGACACUGAACAUUGAGCCUUGAUGUGUAGGAUAGGUGGGAGGCUUUGAAGCCUGGACGCCAGUCUGCGUGGAGCCAACCUUGAAAUACCACCCUUUAAUGUUUGAUGUUCUAACGUUGGCCCCUGACCGGGGUUGCGGACAGUGUCUGGUGGGUAGUUUGACUGGGGCGGUCUCCUCCCA
rnacentral:rRNA from 1 species